AUGGGCACAGUGCAUGGGCAUGGCCACGGAUAUGGGUGUGCGUAACGCGACGCUCUUUCGUGUGUCGUCUGCGUGCAGAGUUGUGCUGGGAUUGACGAUGCACUUUAUUUACUAAGUAUGACUAAGUAGUAUCGGUAGCAUUUCUCGUUUGUAAAUCUGACCAUAAAGUCUGUGGUUCGGAACCUUCUUUGUGUGCUUUAUCUUUGAUUUGGGCUGCUAGCUGCCGCACUAACCUAGCCUAACACUAACUAACCAGUGUAUGAUGUCUUAGGUUAGUUUAGUCAUGGUCAUGGUUUAGUGAUAGUUUAGGUUAGGUUAGUGCGGCUCUGGCAGCUGCCUUGCCUUCCCAAUGAUGUGAAGUUACGGAAUAUGGUGACGCCUACCAAAACAAUAAUGCCCAACCACAUAUUUGUUGCGAGAUCACCCGGCCCUCUCCUCUACUACUGGUUUAUCCAGAAUUGCAAGCACAAGAUUUGCCUUGUGGCAGAUAAUGAAGUACUGGCCCACCUGUUUCAAAGCGCUCAACCUAGAAGGGUCAACGUUGAUAUCAUACUAUAGAAAGGACCUCAAGAGCUAAACUUCAAAGACAGAAGGUGCCAAGGUAGAAGAAGAAGGUACUCAUGACAGAAGAUACAAUGUCCCAUUGUAGCUUCACACGAAAAUGUUUCCCCUCGAACACUAGGGCCCUCACUCUGGUGGCUGUUAUUGGGUUUCCCAAAGCCUAUGGGAAAGCUAAAUGGUGUAUCACUUGGCCAGGAAUGAAGCCCUUUGAAAAUUACCAACUACAAAUUAUUCUGUCCCUUCUGGCUUGUAUUCCUCGCCUUUUUGCCUCAUGCCACCCCUACACCUGCAGUGGAAAAUAAAUUGCGUUACAUUGUCA